rnacentral:rRNA from 1 species
GACGAACGCUGGCGGCGUGCUUAACACAUGCAAGUCGAGCGGUAAGGCCCUUUCGGGGGUACACGAGCGGCGAACGGGUGAGUAACACGUGGGCGACCUACCCUCAGCUUCGGGAUAAGCCUGGGAAACUGGGUCUAAUACCGGAUAUGACUUCGCAUCGCAUGGUGUGGGGUGGAAAGUUUUUCGGCUGGGGAUGGGCCCGCGGCCUAUCAGCUUGUUGGUGGGGUGAUGGCCUACCAAGGCGACGACGGGUAGCCGGCCUGAGAGGGCGACCGGCCACACUGGGACUGAGACACGGCCCAGACUCCUACGGGAGGCAGCAGUGGGGAAUCUUGCGCAAUGGGCGAAAGCCUGACGCAGCGACGCCGCGUGAGGGAUGACGGCCUCGGUUGUAA